UCUUGGCAGGGAUGAUGAAUCAAUUAGAUGCACGAUGGAAGCAAUUCCACAUGAGCACAACUAUUGAGGCAUAUUAUGCUGACUUGCCUUGU